AGUGAAUCUUUGUAGGCUAAAUCAAGAGUGAGCGGGAAGGAGGCAUGGAUGACUGCUUUAUUUCAUUUUGUUUUUUGAAACAGGGUGUUGUUGUAGUUCAGGCUGGUCUUGAACUCACUGCAUAGCCUAGGCUGGCCUUGAACUUUUGGUGAUCCUUCUGCCUCAGCCUCCACAAAGUGCUGGGAUUACAGGCAUGCACCACUGUACCCAGCCCCCAGGAUUUCACUUUUAAAUUAAAACGUUUUCCUUAGAACAGAAAUCCAUUGUAUAAAAGAAUGGGAAAAGACACAUUAUGUAAAUAGCAUCCAGAAGAGUGGAAAUGACUACACUCUGUCAGAUGAAGUAGAUUUCAAGGCAAAAAGUGUCAUCAGAGACAAGGAAGGACAUUUUCCUGACAAAACAAUCAACAAAUCAUGAAUGAUACCACAAUUUUAGGCCAGGUGUGAUGAUGCUCACCCUGCAGUUCUAGGACUCUGGGAGGCAGAGGCAGGAGGAUUUAGCUAGACCUUCCCUCAAAAUAAAAAGUUUUAAAAAGUGCUGGGGAUAAAGCUCAGUGUGAACGCUCUGGGUUCAAUUCACAGUCGUGAAAAGUACAUGAAACAAAACCUGACAGAAUUAAAGGAGAAACAGGCAGUCCAACAGAAAUAGCCAAACACUUCGGUCCUCAUCAGUAGAGAGGAAAGCAGGUGGAGACCAUGUAAGGCUCGAAGAACCACGCAAACCAAGUGGGCCACACCGACCGGAAAGAGGCGCCACCCUGCGGCAGCAGAGCUCCCAUUUUCUCAGUGCAUGUGGAACCUUCUCCAGGAUAGACCCCAUUCAAAAACUGGACAGAAGCUGGGCAUGGUGACGCACGCCUGUGAUCCCAACACUCCAGAGGCUGAGGCAGGAGAGUCGCUGUGAACUUGAGACCAGCAGGGGCUACAUAAUGAAUUUAAGACAAGACUGAGCUACGUAGCGAGACCCUAUCUCAAGAAACCAAAAAGCUAAAACCAAGACCAAAACCAAAACACAGGGAACUAUAGAGCAGUACUGAAGCGAGCACUAUCCUACUGAGCUACAUCCCCAGCCCUUUAAAUUAUUUUUUACUUGAUACAGAAUCUUGCUAACUGUGCUCAGAUGGCCUAGGACUUAUGAUCCUCCUGCCUCAGCCUUCCAAAUAGGUGGGGUUAUAGGCAUGUUCCUGAAGCCUGGCUCAAGGAUGGACAUUUUUUUUCUUUUUUCAAAUCCAUUUUAUUUCAGAGGAGAAAAAAGCAAUAAAAUUUCAAAACACAUCAAUCAAGCAACAAUGGUACACACGUUGUGCAUUGUUGAAGUAUGGAAAUUAUGGUUUUUGUUUUGAGACAUGUAGUGCAGGCUGGCCUUCAGCUUGCUUAUAUAGCCCCUGCUGGCCUUGAACUCAUAUUGAUUCUCUUGCCUCAGCCUCUCAAGUGCUGAUGUUACAGGUAUGUGCCACCAUGCCCAGCUUGUCUUACUCUUGACGCAGGAAAAAAAGCGCUGUUCCCUCAGGAAUAGUGACAUAGAAAUUCUCAAGACAGUCCUAGCAAACUAAGUUUAGAAAAAGGUUAUCUACUAUGGCCAAGUGGAAUUUAUCCCAGGAGUGCAAGGCUGGUGUGACGUAUGAAGAUCAACACACUAAUUCACAUUAGUAGAAGAAAAUACAAACCCAACAGGAUCAUUUCAAUACGCACAAAGAGCCUUUCACAGAAUCUAAUACCUUUUUAUGGCAUAAGCACUUAACAAACUAAUAUUAAAACCCAGUGGUAAUGAAUCCACUGCUGACGUCACACUUCUGGAGAAAAGUCAGAUACUUUGAUUCCUGAGAGUGAAAGACAGAAUGUCCGUCCUUAGGUGGGAUGCACUGGCACAUGUCUGUAAUCCUACUUUGAAGGCUGAGGCAGAAGGAUCUGAGGUCAGUUUGGGAGCUUCAGCAAAACUCUGUGGCAAAGUUAAAGGACGAGGGUGGAGCUCAGUGGUACAGAGCUUCCCUAACACUCAGGCCCCUAGACCGAGGUUCAGCCUCUAGGGUUUUGGAUUAGGCAGUGUUUCUGUAGCUGUUAACACUAAAAUCAGAGAGACAAAACUGAAAGCCCCUGUCUCGGCCUACUGAGUGCUGGGAUGAUAGGUGUACAGCACCACACCUGGCAAAAAUGUACUUUUUAUUAUUUUUUGGUAUUGGGGGUUGAACUCACGACCUUGUUACCUGGCAGGCGCUUGUGCCAGAGCUAAAUCCCUGAUCCUAAAAAUGUGCUUUUUAAAUAGGAUCCCCAAGAAGAGCUUUCUGAAGAUGAGGUUUUAGCAAUCAACAAUAUAUUGAUUGCUUCAGGAAAAUUAAUUUUCUGGCAAAGCAAAAUUAUUUAAAGGAUUAAUGUGGAAUUUUUAUACAUCUGGUUUUUCAUUUGUAAUAAUAGCUAAAAAGAUUUGAUCCCUAUGUUUGGGUGAUAAUAUUGUAUGCUUUAUUUCACUUAACUCGUGUUUAUUUUAUUUUGUGUGUUUCUUUCUUUUCUUUUUUUGAGACAGGAUCUCUGUAUGUUGUUCAGGCUAGCCUUGAAUUUGAGAUCCUGCUGCGUCCGCCUCCUAAUUGCUAGGAUUACAGGCGAGUGCCACUCUGCCCGGCUAAUUCUCACAUCUAACCAAUGAAGCUUCAGCCAUUUUGUCAGGGAAAACGUUUUAAACCUUUCUUCAGUCCUACGUAGCAUUUUAAAAACUCUUGAGGCCAUGCAUUGCGUUUGCCUCUGUGAGGUGAGGUAGGGUGCAGAGGACAAACGGUGGCCGUUUGGGGCCAGUUUCCCACUCAUCCGCUGUGACCCUCUGCUUCCUGGGUUUGUAUGUGCUGUGGCAGAGAUGGUGACGGCGUCACAGAGGGUUCUUUUCCCAGGAGCUAAAUUGCUCUGCGUUUUGUGAUCGGAGCUUUUGUAACUCUCCCUGCCCUUUAGAAGUAAAUCUUCCCACUCCCAUUUCCCGCCAGCCAGCUGUCAUUUAUUAUAGCUGUCAACAUAAAACGACAGCUGUCCCCACUUCUCAGCCACUGUGUCUGCUGUGCGCGCUGGAAGCCAGGUGACCAUCGCAGGUCAUCGGGCAUAGACGAGGCGUGGAGCAGGGGAUGCUGCUGGGGACGGGGCUGUGGAAAGCUUGCUCUGCUGGACACAGUGCUCUCUGGAUGUAUUGGAAAGCUCAUAUUCACAGCCCCUGAAGGUCUUGGAAACUGAAGGUUAAGGGGCUCCAUCUAAUCUCUCUGGCGUGACCCUGUUACACCUGCAACAGUGCUGUGUCCCUGGUAUCUGUUCAGCAAAUGUUGAGGUUAUUCGUUGCCUGGCAAUGAGGAAGAUUAAACUGCUAAAUACCUGAAGUAAGCGGCUUUCCUUGGUGGCAGGCCCAUGGCAUUUCUGCAUUUGAACCUGUCUGCUGGUGACUGAGACCUCGUAAACCAUGAACCACAGUCAACCUCUCCUCCUUUAAAUCGUGGGUGUUGGGUACUAUGUCUGGGCAGGGAGAAAGUGACCAGGCUGCCAUCCUUCAGGAGGGCCAACAUGACAUGGGUAAUGGUGUUCCUUUUUCUCCUCUUGGAAGAUGUUAUUAAAUAGGAUGCCUUUGAGCUGGGCGUGGUGGCACACACCUGUAAUCCCAGCACUCCGGAGGCUGAGGUGGGAGGAUCCUUGAGAGUUUGAGACCAGCCUGGGCUACAAAGUGAGCUCAAGGCCAGCCUGAACUGCAUAGUGAGACUCCAUCUCAAAAAAGACAAAAAAAAAAAAAAAAAAAAAAAAAAAAAGGUUGCCUUGGACAGUUAACAGCAGCACUGUGCUAAUUAUUAUCUAACUGGAGAGGAAGAGCAGAUGCGCAUGGAGCUGAGCCGGGCAUUGCUCUAGGUCCUUCCAGGACCUGUUCCCGAGGAGCCGGAGACCCAUCUUCUUCCCCCUCAGGGCCUCCUGGUUCCUCUUCCUCUUUAAAGUGGCUCAACUUCUUCCCAGUGGAGAGAAUGUCACUAACUUGCUGAGUUAUCCUGGCUGGGCUCAAACUUGUGAUCAUCCUGCCUCAGCCUCCUCCAGUGUUGGAAUUACAGCUGCUGAUGGACAUAUAGUCUACUUCCAAGAUGUGACUGUCAUGGAUUGUGCUGCUGUGCCCAUAGGCUGCAAGACUAUUGGUUGGUGCCACCCACGCCCAGGCUGGGUCUUCCCUCUUCAGGAAGUCAGAGACGCCCAGGACUGUGCUAAUCAGCUAAAUUCAAGUUGACACCAUAGUUUACCUCACAGACCCCUUGCAUGUCUCCCGCGGUUACCAGCAGAAUAAGAAACCCUGAGAAACAGCCUGAGAAAGAAGACCAGCAGUGAUGAGGAGGCUUCACCAAGGGCAAAGCGAGUGAGGUGGUGGCUGGCAUAGCAAUGGAGAAACUGCUCUGCAGUCUGGGCAAAUGGCAAGCAGUCCCAUGUUUUGGCACAACAAUUUGUAAGGCUUUUGUCUGUUAUAACUUAGAAGACAACAGAUGUUGCUAGUAAACUUUUCAUUUGGCUAAGGAAA